AUACGGAGGGUGCAAGCGUUACUCGGAAUCACUGGGCGUAAAGCGCGCGCAGGCGGCCUGAUAAGUUGGAUGUGAAAGCCUACGGCUCAACCGUAGAACUGCAUCCAAAACUGUCAGGCUAGAGUGUGGGAGAGGAAGAUGGAAUUAGUUGUGUAGGGGUAAAAUCCGUAGAGAUAACUAGGAAUACCAAAAGCGAAGGCGAUCUUCUGGAACAGUACUGACGCUGAGGCGCGAAAGCGUGGGGAGCAAACAGGAUUAGAAACCCCAGUAGUCC
rnacentral:rRNA from 1 species